AGCUCGAUGGUCUAGUGGUAUGAUUCUCGCUUCGGGUGUGAGAGGUCCCGGAUUCAAAUCCCGGCCGAGCCC
rnacentral:tRNA from 13 species